rnacentral:rRNA from 1 species
AGAGUUUGAUCAUGGCUCAGGACGAACGCUGGCGGCGUGCUUAACACAUGCAAGUCGAACGAUGAAGGGGAGCUUGCUCCCUGGAUUAGUGGCGAACGGGUGAGUAACACGUGAGUAACCUGCCCUUGACUCUGGGAUAAGCACUGGAAACGGUGUCUAAUACCGGAUACGAGCUUCAGCCGCAUGGCUAGGAGCUGGAAAGAAUUUCGGUCAAGGAUGGACUCGCGGCCUAUCAGCUAGUUGGUGAGGUAAUGGCCCACCAAGGCGACGACGGGUAGCCGGCCUGAGAGGGUGACCGGCCACAUUGGGACUGAGACACGGCCCAGACUCCUACGGGAGGCGGCAGUGGGGAAUAUUGCACAAUGGGCGAAAGCCUGAUGCAGCAACGCCGCGUGAGGGAUGACGGCCUUCGGGUUGUAAACCUCUUUUAGUAGGGAAGAAGCGAAAGUGACGGUACCUGCAGAAAAAGCACCGGCUAACUACGUGCCAGCCGCCGCGGUAAUUC